UUGACCUGUAUCGAGCGGGAUUGCACAGGCAUCAGCCGGAAAAUACAAGUAUUUUACGUGUAAAGCGUGCAGUCCUUCGUCGGAUUUACGAUCUCGCGCGGAGCUUAUUGCUACGAAGCAGAUGCGAUAUCACGGGAUACGCAAUUUCGGUGGAUGCGGAAGUCGCACCGGAGGAUCCGGUUCAGGCCGAAUAGGGUCGGCUCGAAGAUAUGGAUCUUGUAGAAUGUGGCGAGCUCUGAGUUUCUGAUAUUUUGAACGAGCGUCCUCUGGCAACGAACCAAAAAUGCGUAGCCAUGCGCGCGCGCCCGAGCGCGUCCCGAGAUCCGUGGCUCGACUACCUUUGAUGCUUUGCGGACCGAUCAGUCCCCGCAUCCUUCCUUUGGGAAGCGGAAGAAGGAGGAGAAAAUCGAAUCUGAGAUUCGUUCGACCGCGUGAAUUCAUCUCGCUGGUCUAAGGAGGAAUUCCCCGCGUCAUCUGAUUCAAAGGCGAAGCUUUUCCAGCUAAUGCCCGGCACGCAAAUCGUUACCAUCUACUUGAACUGGGACGCUCCGCUCACGAAAAGAAGAUACAGUUAGUAGGUUACAUCGCGACAGACGAUUUGUUAAAAUUUGCAUUUUCGGUGAUGCAGUUUCUCGCCUAGUUUUUUUUUUGUACAUGCUUUAUAUUUUCCGACGUAUCUUGGGAGAGCUUUAAUGAUCAACGGAUUAUGUCGUCUUGAUAACAGUGACAGUUUAAAACAAGAAUUCGCGUUACGUUUGCGUGCUUUCAGAAUUGUAAACAAGCCACAUUUGGCUGAUCGAAGUAAAUUUAGCUAUGAACUAUACGUUACAUUUUAAUACCUUCGGAGAGAUAAAAUAAGACAUGUCUCUCUCA